UACGUAGGAUGCGAGCGUUGUCCGGAGUUAUUGGGCGUAAAGGGCGCGUAGGCGGCCACCGCAAGUCGACUGUGAAAUCUCCGGGCUUAACCCGGAAAGGUCAGCCGAUACUGCGGGGCUAGAGUGCAGAAGGGGCAACUGGAAUUCUCGGUGUAGCGGUGAAAUGCGUAGAUAUCGAGAGGAACACCUGCGGCGAAGGCGGGUUGCUGGGCUGACACUGACGCUGAGGCGCGAAAGCGUGGGGAGCGAACAGG
rnacentral:rRNA from 1 species